rnacentral:rRNA from 1 species
UACGGAGGAUCCAAGCGUUAUCCGGAUUUAUUGGGUUUAAAGGGUGCGUAGGUGGCCUGGUAAGUCAGUGGUGAAAGACGGUAGCUUAACUAUCGCAGUGCCUUUGAUACUGCCGGGCUUGAAUGAACUAGAGGUAGGCGGAAUGUGACAAGUAGCGGUGAAGUGCAUAGAUAUGUCACAGAACACCGAUUGCGAAGGCAGCUUACUAUGGUUUUAUUGACACUGAGGCACGAAAGCGUGGGGAUCAAACAGG